rnacentral:rRNA from 1 species
GGGGACCUUUCGGCCUUCUUGCCAUCAGAUGUGCCCAGAUGGGAUUAGCUAGUAGGUGGGGUAAUGGCUCACCUAGGCGACGAUCCCUAGCUGGUCUGAGAGGAUGACCAGCCACACUGGAACUGAGACACGGUCCAGACUCCUACGGGAGGCAGCAGUGGGGAAUAUUGCACAAUGGGCGCAAGCCUGAUGCAGCCAUGCCGCGUGUAUGAAGAAGGCCUUCGGGUUGUAAAGUACUUUCAGCGAGGAGGAAGGCAUUGUGGUUAAUAACCACAGUGAUUGACGUUACUCGCAGAAGAAGCACCGGCUAACUCCGUGCCAGCAGCCGCGGUAAUACAGAGGGUGCAAGCGUUAAUCGGAAUUACUGGGCGUAAAGCGCGCGUAGGUGGUUCGUUAAGUUGGAUGUGAAAUCCCCGGGCUCAACCUGGGAACUGCAUUCAAAACUGACGAGCUAGAGUAUGGUAGAGGGUGGUGGAAUUUCCUGUGUAGCGGUGAAAUGCGUAGAUAUAGGAAGGAACACCAGUGGCGAAGGCGACCACCUGGACUGAUACUGACACUGAGGUGCGAAAGCGUGGGGAGCAAACGGGAUUAGAUACCCUGGUAGUCCACGCCGUAAACGAUGUCAACUAGCCGUGGGGAGCCUUGAGCUCUUAGUGGCGCAGGCUAACGCAUUAAGUUGACCGCCUGGGAGACGCCG